rnacentral:rRNA from 1 species
AGAGUUUGAUCCUGGCUCAGAUUGAACGCUGGCGGCAUGCUUUACACAUGCAAGUCGAACGGCAGCGCGGGGCAACCUGGCGGCGAGUGGCGAACGGGUGAGUAAUAUAUCGGAACGUACCCAAGAGUGGGGGAUAACGUAGCGAAAGUUACGCUAAUACCGCAUACGAUCUAAGGAUGAAAGCAGGGGAUCUUCGGACCUUGUGCUCCUGGAGCGGCCGAUAUCUGAUUAGCUAGUUGGUGAGGUAAAGGCUCACCAAGGCGACGAUCAGUAGCUGGUCUGAGAGGACGACCAGCCACACUGGAACUGAGACACGGUCCAGACUCCUACGGGAGGCAGCAGUGGGGAAUUUUGGACAAUGGGCGAAAGCCUGAUCCAGCAAUGCCGCGUGAGUGAAGAAGGCCUUCGGGUUGUAAAGCUCUUUUGUCAGGGAAGAAACGGGAGUGGCUAAUAUCCAUUCCUAAUGACGGUACCUGAAGAAUAAGCACCGGCUAACUACGUGCCAGCAGCCGCGGUAAUACGUAGGGUGCAAGCGUUAAUCGGAAUUACUGGGCGUAAAGCGUGCGCAGGCGGUUGUGUAAGACAGGUGUGAAAUCCCCGGGCUUAACCUGGGAACUGCGCUUGUGACUGCACGGCUAGAGUACGGCAGAGGGGGGUGGAAUUCCACGUGUAGCAGUGAAAUGCGUAGAUAUGUGGAGGAACACCGAUGGCGAAGGCAGCCCCCUGGGCCGAUACUGACGCUCAUGCACGAAAGCGUGGGGAGCAAACAGGAUUAGAUACCCUGGUAGUCCACGCCCUAAACGAUGUCGACUAGUCGUUCGGAGAGGUAACUCACUGAGUGACGCAGCUAACGCGUGAAGUCGACCGCCUGGGGAGUACGGCCGCAAGGUUAAAACUCAAAGGAAUUGACGGGGACCCGCACAAGCGGUGGAUGAUGUGGAUUAAUUCGAUGCAACGCGAAAAACCUUACCUACCCUUGACAUGCCAGGAAUCCUUGAGAGAUCAGGGAGUGCCUUCGGGAGCCUGGACACAGGUGCUGCAUGGCUGUCGUCAGCUCGUGUCGUGAGAUGUUGGGUUAAGUCCCGCAACGAGCGCAACCCUUGUCGCUAAUUGCCAUCAUUAGGUUGGGCACUUUAGCGAGACUGCCGGUGACAGACCGGAGGAAGGUGGGGAUGACGUCAAGUCCUCAUGGCCCUUAUGGGUAGGGCUUCACACGUCAUACAAUGGUCGGUACAGAGGGCUGCCAAAGCGCGAGCUGGAGCCAAUCCCUUAAAGCCGAUCGUAGUCCGGAUCGUAGUCUGCAACUCGACUACGUGAAGUCGGAAUCGCUAGUAAUCGCAGAUCAGCAUGCUGCGGUGAAUACGUUCCCGGGCCUUGUACACACCGCCCGUCAAACCAUGGAAGUUGGGGGUACCUGAAGUCUGUUACCGCAAGGAGCGGCCUAGGGUAAAACCAAUGACUGGGGUUAAGUCGUAACAAGGUAGCCGUACCGGAAGGUGUGGCUGGAUCACCUCCUUA